rnacentral:rRNA from 1 species
UACAGAGGUCCCAAGCGUUGUUCGGAUUCACUGGGCGUAAAGGGUGCGUAGGUGGUCGGGUAAGUCUGAUGUGAAAUCUCCGAGCUCAACUCGGAAAUGGCAUUGGAUACUAUUCGGCUAGAGGGUUUGAGGGGGGACUGGAAUACUUGGUGUAGCAGUGAAAUGCGUAGAUAUCAAGUGGAACACCAGUGGCGAAGGCGAGUCCCUGGAAAACUCCUGACACUGAGGCGCGAAAGCGAGGGGAGCAAACAGG